rnacentral:snRNA from 1 species
AAAUUUACCGGACGGUGGUCAGUGGCCCAUCAAGAAGGCUAGUGGCCUCCCAUCUCCUCAGUGGGAGAUGGCCGUCACAAUUUUUGGCAGCAGGGUGCGCGUUCGCGCGGCCCUAC